rnacentral:lncRNA from 1 species
AUAACUCUCUCUAUCUCUUUUUUUGUUUUAGAGAGAAGAUGACUAUUCUCUCAGCCAUAUUUUGCUGCUUCAAGUCAAAGGAAGAAAAGAGCUCUAUGGUGGAAGCAGGUUCUUUAUCUCGGAAACCCAAAGGAGAUCCUCAGCGAUCUUCAGCUCCUAUUGUUGUUUCUUAUUUCCCAGUUAACUCUCAUCCUUCUCGCUUGUAGUUUAUGAAACACCGACACGGACACCUGUAAUGUCCAAAAUAUAGAACGUAGUACAGGUGUCGUGUCGGUGUCGAACACUGAUACUGACGUGUGUCGGACACCGGAUCCUGCUUCAUAGCUUCUAGCCAAUCAAAUGCUUCAAUUGAAACAUGUGUCACAAGUUAUGGUAUGGAGUAAGUUAAACAGUACCUCCAUUUUUUUCUGAUAAAAAGAUCGCACUGGAAUUCCAACUUAUGUUCUUAACUUCUUGUGUAUAUUAUGAAAUCCCUUAUGAUCAGUAAACCGAUCUCAGUGGUUUUUUUUAUUUAAAGAGUACCUCCCUUAAGAGAGAGUACCUUAUUAGGUUUAAAUUUAAUUAUGAUCUUAUGCAUACUAUCAAAAUCUCUUUAUCUUAGUUUUUUUUUUUAAGAGUAACUCCAUUAAGAGAGAUAAUUGUUACUCAUGCGUACAUUGACACAGGCUCUAUAUGUAUUCUUCCUAUCGAUCCCUUUGAAAAUUUGUUUUCUGGGAACCGUGUGUCACGUGUUUGUAUUGUAUAUCCUACUAGAUUUGUUGAAGAUAGAUUUUCAGCCAAUUGGAAUUUUUCUUUAACAUCGUGUGGUGAGUUUCAAACGUAAAAUCAAUGAGAGCAUAAAAGAUAGAGUGAAUUACACCGAAAUUUCUUGUGUUUUUUUUUUUAUAUAUAUUGUAUACAAUUUUUCCUUUUUUUUAAAGGUUUACAGUAACCUCUUUUAUAUAUGGAGUGCAUGAUGUAAUAUGUUUUAAAUAAUUAAAGAGUUAGUAUAAAUAUAUAUUAAGGGUGUCAAUAUAAUAUUUUUUAAAUAAUUAAAUGGGUUUGUGUAGGAAUAAAAAAAAAAGAUGUCGAGAAAAAAUUGAUGAAACUUCCGGAGUGCUGUUGGGAAAAAUUCUCUCUCUAUAUAUAUAAGAUGAUAUUUUCAUUGUCAAUCUAAACUAGUAAACAAAUAUAGUCUAACCUAGUAAAUAUAUUUAUUGUAUUCUAUCAACUUCAUGAGAUAUUGUAUUUUUGUUGAUGGACUCCUUUAAUCACGACGAUAUUUUUGACAUUCAUUGUAUAUGGUUUCGAUAGUGCUUACAUUUGUUUGAUUUUGAUCUUUAAUUGUCAACAAAAUUUGAUCAAACUUCAUCAUGUUUUUGGUCAAUUGGUUAAUCAUAAUUUUUUCUUCAUUACUUAAACAACUAUCAUAUGAAUGACCAAGUAAUAUUGUCAUCACUUUAUGGUUAUGAAAUCACAUUCUACUAUAAGUUUUCACCCUAUGAUUCUCAUAAACUUCCCUUUUAAUUUAAGAGGAUGCCCAAGUUUUCUAGUUUUAGUGAUCUUGGACACUAACUUGUCUUUGUAUUGUUUGUACUUCUUUUCUUCCUUUUCGCAACCCAAUGCAACAUAUAUUUUUUCUUACUUCUGAUUUUUGAAUCAUAACCAUAAACUGGUACUCUUUUUUCACACGUCAGAGCCUAAUUUAACAAAUCAACGCACUCUUGAAAAUCCUAGAAGAAUAAAAAAAAAUUAUUCAGUAAUAAAACACAAGGCUUCACAAAAAACAGACAAUAAAAGUAAUGAAAUAUAUCUCAUCAGUCAAGAAAUAAUUGAAAAGUCGAGAUAGUAAGGUUGCAACUGCAUAUCAAUGUUAUCACCACGCACAUUUUCAUCAUUAUUUUUCUCCAAACUAGUAUCAUUAGGCUCGACUCCAUAUAAAAGGUCGGGGUAGUAAAAGAAACUUUGACUUCUAGGAUCUAUAUUUUCCCAUCCAGUUGACAUUGUAAUCUCAUUAGAUAUAAAAGUAUUCUAACCCAUUGACCUACAAAAUCAAGAGAGAGAAAAACUAGUUAUUUUUUUUAAAAAAAUUGUUUGCUACAUAAUUUGUAAUCCAACGAAAUCAUGAUUUCGUUGUAUUGCAAAUUCGUUCCACAACAAAAUCAUAUUUCCAUUGUGUUAUAUUGCAACACAAUGAAAUCAUAAUUCCAUUGUGAGGCGAUUUCAACAAUAAUAUAAUCAUGAUUCUGUUGUGUUAUCAAAAGACCGAAAAAAAUGGAAUUACAGAUUUGUUGUACAAAUUGCACAAUGAAAUUAUAAUUUUGUUGAGUUGAUAAACAUGAAAAAAAAAACCUAGACAGGGGAGAGAUUUACAAGGAAAUGAGGGAAGAGAGAGAAAGAGGAAAGGAUAUUUUGAUCUUUUCCUAUAGAUGGUAAGGACCUAUAGCAAUUGUGGAGGGGCCAAUUUUAGUUCCCUUAGCAACCACAAUCGAUGUUGGGCCUGGUUCUGGGUUAAAUAAACUUCAUCCCAAACAACCUAGCACGACUUGAUAGUUGAUACAUGUAUUCUUCAAAUAAAAACAUGCUUUCAAAUAAUUUCAAUAAAUUACAUUUAGGGAUAAGCAAACAAAAAAACAAAUAUAUUCUGUUUUUGGUUGAGAAUUCCUUAUUGUUUUAUGUAUGCUUAUAGUUUUUUAACAUUCCUAUAUCUUAUUUGUUUUGUUGAGUAAACUCCCAAAUUCAUUUGCAAGUAAUUUGUUGUAAGCAUUAGUUUUUUAAAAGCAAAAAGCUUUCUUGAUUGUUUGGAACUAUUGUCAACUACAUUAAUCAUUCUUUAAAAAAAUUAAUGUUUGAUAAAUAAAGAGUAACAUAAUUGAUAUUUGUUGUUAUUUAAGAAUUAUGGUUUGCCAUUUUAAAUACUAGUAUAUUUGUCGUCAAAAUUUUCAAGAAUACAUCUGAAAAUUCUUUUUUAUUGAACGGUUUUGAAAUCAUUUUUUAAUAACUUAUUCCCAAGAGUAUAUAAAAAGGCAUAAUUGACAUGAUAUUAAAUUUAAAAAAAAAGUUUGGAAUAUAUAAUUUGUUACUAAUUAUACACUUUAUCUACUUAAUAUUUGUGUCCAAGCAUGUUGAACCUAAAAAUUUGGCCAAAAUGGUUAUAUUUUCAAAAUCUUAGAAUUGACAACCAUCAUGCUUUAAAAGAAUACACUCUUCGACAACCCACACAUUCCGAAACACAACAAAAGAUCUUCUUUGUUUUUCCGUUGUAAUCCUAAAACACAUGAAAUUAUCACUAUGAAUCGACGUUUUUCUUCUAUAACAUUAAUAGGAAGGACUGUAAUGUAGUACUACAUUGUAUGGAUAAUUAAAACAAGGAUGAAAAUAAUCGUGACUAAACGAUAAAGCAGAGCAUUAGGAAUGAAUUAUGCAUUUUAUGGAACAUCAUUUUGCAAAUAAAAUGUCAAGGCAGACAGCACUAUUUUCAAAUUAAACUAAUUCAUAAUCUUAAUUUUUAUGAUGAAAGUUGGAUGGUAAAUUUUGCAAUUAAGCCAAUAAGAAAUUCAAGAGGUAAAAUAUUGGUACUCUUUGGACUGAUUAUAGCAUUUUAGGGACAAAAAUGAAAUAUAUUCUCCCUGACAUGUUAAUGUUGUCACUUGUCAGUCUCUUGAAUUUUAAUUUAAAAAACCGAGACAACAUAUAAUUCAAAGAAUAACCUACAAGGUUGUUCAAGAAAUGGAAAAGAAAAAAUAAUACCAUCAGGUACAUGAUUUUUAUUUCAUAACUACUGUGACAUUAUAAUACAACGUCACAUGCAAACCAAAACUGAAUGCUAAUAACCCCCAAGUUUACAUGAUGACGGCAGUAUCUCUAACAUCAAGUUGCAAGAACACAUGCAUGAAAAAUAGAAUCAAUGGCUCUGAAUAGCAACAUUGAUAAAUUGAACAUAUGAAAUCACAGACUUGACACUUAUCUCCAUAUUUCUUCCUGAAAGAAAGAUGCUAAAUAGCUUAUGGCGCAAAUUUUCUCCAAUGAUUAAAGGAUAAGUUACCUGACUUAGAUAACUGCGGCCGUCAAAACCGGUGUGUUUCAUUAUAAAAAUGAGAGUAAAUCUGUGUAUUACUUUGUUUUACUCCCAAUCUGUAACAUGAAAAAUCAAAAUUGGUUCUGAAUCAGUUCCCAAGCCAACCACUCCAAUAGAUACCCCAAAAGCAGGGCAGAAGUUCUGCAUUUCAAUAAACAUCACAUAGCUUGCUUGCUUUCCCACCCCUCCAGAGUAGAUACGAAUUAUGUUAUCAUUACCCCUUGUUCCAUGCAAGCUUUCAUGCUAAAUCAACCCUCACCAAGGUAACCCUUCAUUUCCACCAAGCUUCACAAUAAUAUUUCUCUACAUCAGCAUCCAUCAUGCUUUUAUUAAGCAUGAUUCUUCUUUUGUAGGAAUUGGCCAAAAUGGUGAUAGUUCAACAACUUUUCCUAUUAUAAUCAGUGUUGGUGACACCAGCUGAGUAGAUGUAAUUUUCUCAUGAAGGUCCUUUAGUUCAGCAAAUACCUGAAAUGAUAGCAAAAUAAUCAGCUAUUGGAUCUAGCAUCCUGAAAUGUUGAAUUAAGAACUUGGCUACGCAUUUUAUUUUUUACAAUUGUAUUUAUUGAUCAGUUUUUAAUAUCAACAACCAUUCAGAAGUACAAGGUUCACUGCUACCUCCAAAAACAACACAUUUAUAAAGCCUUGACUCAAUGACUCUAGUGCCAGGAACACUUUCUUGACACCCCUCACAUUGAAUCUUUUAUCAUUAAUAUCUUUUACAACAAUUAAUUUGUCAAGACUAACAACAAAGGCAUCAACAAUAAGGAUUUGGAUAAUUUCUUCCUUAGGAACAUGUAAAUGUCAUUUUCAUGAAGUGAAAGACACCAGCAACUCCUAUACUGGACCCCUGCAUGGGAUAUAUGGUGGGUCCAAUGUUUUAUGUUUUUCGCUCCAAUAUUUACAUUUUAUGUUCCUAAGAUAAAGGAGGAUCAGGGCCAUGGCAAUAAUACAUGCAAAAGAGGUGUCCAGAAAGUUUAGUGGGAAGAUCAUAAAACAUUGGAACCAGUGUUUUGUCACAAAAAAGUUUCACUUCAUAUAACAGUCAAGCAUGAUCACAGUUCUGUUUGGAGUGAAGGGAUAAGUGAGGGGGGAAGUUGGGAUAAUAAAUGUGAAAUUGAUGCUCAAUAGCUCAUAAAUUGCUCUAAUAUUUAGGAUAGCACAUUUUUUAUCAUUAAGUUUCCAUAUGAUACUUGAACAAGUUCACCUUCAUUUUUCAUAAGCAAAAAUGUUGCUUUACUAUCACAUUUAAAUAAAAGUGAUCAUUUCAUAAUAAAUCAAAGUCCUCCCAAUAUAUUACAACAAUAAUGACUAGAAAUGAAUGUGAUUGCAGGAAAGAAACUCAAUCAACGUGACGGAAAGAGAACUAUGUUGAAGGGAGGAUAAGAUCAUGCUUACUGUGCGCUGCUGAAGUGUGGUCCCUCGCUCGAUGGCAGCAGCUGGGGUCUGAGGGGACAGACCAUUGAG